GUCGAGCGCGGUUUCUGUCUGAUGCUGAUGAACACUGUAGUCAAAGAGAAAAGGAUGUUUCUUUUCGAUUAAUCCGGAGAGGGGGACAAAAGUGGAACGAACAAAAGCAACACGGUUGCAUGUUAAUCCAAAAGUCUUUACCUUGAUUCAGGACCUCUCCGACCAUGAAUGGCGAGCCGUUUAAAAAGGUGUUUUUUCAAUUGUGUGACUGCGAACCCCCAUAUCUACUUUGUUUGUGGGCCAAUAUUAACGGUCACAUUUUUCACACACCCUCUCUCUCUCCUCUUCCUUAUUCACUAAAUUUUUCAACAAUAAAUUGG
ensembl:lncRNA